UUUGUCAUUUUAUCUAUUAUUGUAAUGUAGUAUAAAUAGAACAUUGUAAGGUUUAUUUCUUUAGUUGAUCAUUAUUAUUGAAGAAUACUUCUCUUAGAGUGAGAGAGAGUCCAAUUGAAACUAGGGCAUAACAUAAGGGUGGAUUCUCUUGUGUGUUGCAUUUUGCUUGAUACGUUGGUGCUUGGGUGGUGGACGCCUCUCUUGUGUCAAUUGUAAGAUUUAGGUAUUUAUUGUGUGAAGUUUUAAAGGUCCAAUAGUGGAAUAUGCUUUUGGAUUGUUAAGACUACAUCAACACUUGUCUAACUACCUAUCUUGUAUCUUGUUUUAGUUUCGGCUUCUUGUGUUGUUAAUGUAACCCGUUUGUUCUUGUUGCUAUUGUAAUAUUGUGGAGCUUCAUCUUGUAUUGCUAAACUUGUUUUUGGCUGGCUGUUUUGGUGUAUUAACACCCUGUAUCCUCUAUUUUCUUGUUCUAGAUAGUGAAUCCAAGAGAGGUCCCCAUUUGGUACACGAUUUGUUGUGAUUUGUGGACUGUUUUGGGGUGUGAUUUUGUAUUCCCUUGUUUGUUCCGUAUCAUUUGGUAUCAGAUCAAGGUUUGAUUUUGUUCCAACAAAAUCAAUCUUGGGAUUGUUAUCUUUUAAAAAAAAGUUACUGUUCACGUUUUUAGGGUCUUUCAAAAAACUUAAUUUUUGUGUGUUUCUAGUGUUAGAUCUUGUUCCCUAACACUAUUAGAGUAUAGAAAUUGAAAAUCCUAACAAAAAAAGAAGUGUCAAAAUCAAAAAUCCCCCAAAAAUAUACUAAACCCAUUUUUAAUCCUAGGUCAAAUUUUGAGUUUUUGAUUUUGCGUUUUUCUUGUGUUUUUAGUGUUAGAUUUGUGUUCUCUAACACUAUAGAAGUAUAGGGUUCAAAUUUGAGCUAAAUUGGAGGUUAUUUAAGCCAUCCACCAAUAUUGAGCUUGAGGUUGAAGAAACUUGAGGGUGGGAUCUUAUUGUGGGAGGUUGUUAUAAAAUAACGUGUGUUUUGUGUUGUAGGUUUUGCUUUGUAUUAUUGUGUGUGACGUUGCGGAUUGAUUUGGUAUCUUGAUUGGACCGUAACUUGAAAGGUUAUUUUUGAUACCACCACAAUGGAACCUGAGGCUUCAAAUGCUCAAACAAUAGAUAAUAAUGCCAUCAAUCUCAUUUUGGCUCGCCUUGAAACUAUGUCCCGAGUGUGGUUAGGUUGAAUGUGGGUCUUGAGAAAUUAGAUACGAAUGUGGAAUCAAUGAGUGGGAGAUUAGAACGUGUGGAAAGCCAAAGGAGUCGACCUUCUACCCCUCAAAACAUUUUCCCAACUAAUACUUCCGAGACCUUGCACCAAAUGCAAUAUACACCAAUUGCCAUAAAUCAAACCAAUCUUUACUCCCGAAGCCAAGAUCAAGAUAGACCAAGCCAUCCUUCACUCCACCAAGUCCAACAAGAAGGGCUUGUAAUCCAAAUACCAUCACCAAACCCGAACCCUCCUAUCCAAACUCCACUUGACCAAAAACCUCACUAUCCAAAUCCAAUCCCGCCACUACAAGCUCUACUUAACCCAAAUAGACCCAUCCAUGUUGAGGGCUAUGGUAGGGGAGGACAACAUGAUGGUUAUGGGCCGNNNNNNNNNNNNNNNNNNNNNNNNNAGGAGUCGACCUUCUACCCCUCAAAACAUUUUCCCAACUAAUACUUCCGAGACCUUGCACCAAAUGCAAUAUACACCAAUUGCCAUAAAUCAAACCAAUCUUUACUCCCGAAGCCAAGAUCAAGAUAGACCAAGCCAUCCUUCACUCCACCAAGUCCAACAAGAAGGGCUUGUAAUCCAAAUACCAUCACCAAACCCGAACCCUCCUAUCCAAACUCCACUUGACCAAAAACCUCACUAUCCAAAUCCAAUCCCGCCACUACAAGCUCUACUUAACCCAAAUAGACCCAUCCAUGUUGAGGGCUAUGGUAGGGGAGGACAACAUGAUGGUUAUGGGCCGUAUGAUGACGUUUACUUGAGGGAAGAAAGAAUGAGGUGUAGACAUGGGGAGUUAGGCCGAGAGGUGAGGGAUGACCACCCAAACCGAGAUGUAGGUCUCAAUUCCAUCAAAGUGAGCCUUCCCGUUUUCAAAGGUGGGAGUGAUCCCGAAGCCUACCUUGCAUAGGAGUCAUCUUGUGACAAGAUUUUCCAACUUAAUGAUCUCGCCGAAGAAAAAAAAAGUUGUUAUGCUAUAGCUCACUUCGAAGGGUAUGCUAAUACAUGGUGGGAGUAUGUUAAACGAUUUGAGAAUGAGAUGAUUGGGUGACAACCUCCUCCUUGGUUUCGAUUGAAGAACCUUAUGUGACAAAGGUACUUUUUCGAGACUUAUAGGCAUGAGCUCCUUGCUAAAUUAUAUUAUUUGAAGCAAGGGAACAAGAGUGUCAUGGCUUACUAUGAUAAAUUUCAACAAUUGAUAUUGAAACUUGACCACCGAGGUGAGCAAGUAAGUCAUUACAUUGUGCGCUUCAAGGUUGGGUUAAACAAGGACAUCUCCACUCGCAUGACGCUUCACAAAUUCAACACCAUAGAUGGCAUCUUCCAUGCGGCUUGAGAGGUUGAAAGGGAGCUCAAAGAUAACUCAUUCAUGACUACCCAACCCGAGGCUACCAAGGUUGUCCAAAAACAUCCUCCAAGGUAUGAAGGUAAAUUGAAUUCUACUUCCAAUCCCAAGGGUGGGGCCACAAGGCUAGUGAGUUCCCAAACUAGAGGAACGUGAUCCUAAGAGAGAGAAAAUUGUACUAUCUUGGGGAAGAAGUAGUAAUUGAAUCGGCUAAAUUUGCUGGCAAGGCUCAAGAUGGAGAGCAAAAGGAGGUUAAAAUGCAAGGCGAGGAAGAUGUAGAAGAUAUGUGGCCGUGUGAAGGAGAUUGUGAAGUACCUUUGUAAAAAAGGUGAGGUUAUGAAUUUGUGGGCAAAUUCCUCUCAAGAUGGAGAGGAUAAUACAAGUAUGAUCAUCAUGAUCAUGACACUUUUGAGUAUUUUUUAAGACUAGUCACUAAAGUGCCCUUUUGUUAUUUUGUCUAUUAUUGGAAUGCAGUAUAAAUAGAACAUUGUAGGGUUUAUUUCUUUAGUUGAUCAUUAUUAUUGAAGAAUACUAGAGAGAGUCCAAUUGAAACUAGGGCAUAACAUAAAGGUGGAUUCUCUUGUGUGUUGCAUUUUGCUUGAUACUUUGGUGCUUGGGUGGUGGAUGCCUCUCUUGUAUCAACUGUAAGAGUUAGGUGUUUGUUGUGUAAAGUUUUAAAGGUCCAAGAGUGAAAUAUUCUCUUGGGUUGUUAAGACUACAUCAACACUUGUCUAACUACCUAUCUUGUAUCUUGUUUUAGUUUCGGCUUCUUGUGUUGUUAAUGUA
rnacentral:lncRNA from 1 species